rnacentral:rRNA from 1 species
GACGAACGCUGGCGGCGUGCUUAACACAUGCCAGUCGAACGGAAAGGCCCCUUUGGGGGUCCUCGAGUGGCGAACGGGUGAGUAACACGUGAGUAACCUGCCCUUGACUUCGGGAUAACUUCAGGAAACUGGGGCUAAUACCGGAUAGGAAUCCUUGCUGCAUGGUGGGGGUUGGAAAGCUUCGGCGGUUUUGGAUGGACUCGCGGCUUAUCAGCUUGUUGGUGGGGUAGUGGCUUACCAAGGCUUUGACGGGUAGCCGGCCUGAGAGGGCGACCGGCCACAUUGGGACUGAGAUACGGCCCAGACUCCUACGGGAGGCAGCAGUGGGGAAUAUUGCACAAUGGGCGGAAGCCUGAUGCAGCAACGCCGCGUGCGGGAUGACGGCCUUCGGGUUGUAAACCGCUUUCAGCAGGGGCGAAGCUUGUGGUGACGGUACCUGCAGAAGAAGCACCGGCUAACUACGU